GACGAACGCUGGCGGCGUGGAUUAGGCAUGCAAGUCGAACGGUAUCAUCCUUUCGGGGGUGAGAGAGUGGCGAACUGGUGAGUAACACGUAGGUUAUCUACCCUCAAGACGGGGACAACCCAGGGAAACUUGGGCUAAUACCGGAUGUGAGCAACUUUUAGUUGUUUGAAAGGUGGCGUAAGCUGUCGCUUGGGGAUGAGCCUGCGUCCUAUUAGUUAGUUGGUGAGGUAACGGCUCACCUAGGCAAUGAUAGGUAGGCGGCCUUAACGGGUGGUCGCCCACACUGGGAUUGAGAUACGGCCCAGACUCCUACGGGAGGCAGCAGUCGAGAAUAGUCUACAAUGGUCGGAAGACUGAUAGUGCGACGCCGCGUGAAACGAUGAACUCCCGUUCGGGGUAGUAAAGUUCUUUUAUAUGUGAGCAGUGCUUCUUAUAUUAACAGUAUGGGGAAGAGAUAUUAGCAUAUGAAAUAAGCAAGGCUAAUCCGUGCCAGCAGCCGACGGUAAACU
rnacentral:rRNA from 1 species